rnacentral:tRNA from 1 species
GGGCCUGUAGCUCAGUUGGUAGAGCGCGUGCUUUGCAAGCACGAUGUCGCCGGUUCGACUCCGACCAGGUCCACCA